rnacentral:tRNA from 2 species
GGAGAGGUGUCCGAGUUGGCUGAAGGAGCACGACUGGAAAUCGUGUGGGUGCUCAAAAGGUGCCUCGGGGGUUCGAAUCCCCCCCUCUCCGCCA